rnacentral:rRNA from 1 species
CAGUCGCCACGGUAAUACGAAGGGGGCUAGCGUUGUUCGGAUUUACUGGGCGUAAAGCGCACGUAGGCGGACUUUUAAGUCAGGGGUGAAAUCCCGGGGCUCAACCCCGGAACUGCCUUUGAUACUGGAAGUCUUGAGUAUGGUAGAGGUGAGUGGAAUUCCGAGUGUAGAGGUGAAAUUCGUAGAUAUUAGCUAGAACACCAGUGGCGAAGGCGGCCAACUGGUCCGACACUGACGCUGAGGUGCGAAAGCGUGGGGAGCAAACAGGAUUAGAUACCCCAGUAGUCCCUGUCUCUUAUAC